rnacentral:rRNA from 1 species
UACGAAGGGUGCAAGCGUUGCUCGGAAUUAUUGGGCGUAAAGGGUAGGUAGGUGGUCUCAUUUGUCAGGGGUGAAAGCCUUGGGCUUAACCCAAGAAGUGCCCCUGAAACGGUGAGACUGGAGUCUUGGAGAGGGUCGUGGAAUUCCCGGUGUAGCGGUGAAAUGCGUAGAGAUCGGGAGGAACACCAGAGGCGAAGGCGGCGACCUGGACAAGUACUGACACUCAACUACGAAAGCGUGGGUAGCAAACAGG